CAAUUCGUUUGUAGAUAGUACCUUUUUAUCUGAGUGUAGGCCUAUAUUGCAGUCGUGGUUCUGUGGAUAUCUGUGAAAAUAAAGUUAAUUGGUGGUGGUGGUGAGUUAAGAUAAUCAGAAAUACUAUGAAAUAUCCCCACUUUUAGCACACAUUUGCAAGCAGGCAAAGUAGCCUGUGUGUGCUGAGGCACGUGUGAUCACUCAACACUGACAGGACCAACAAAAAAGACAUGCUUGGGACUCCCGAGUGGCGCAGCUAUCACGGUACCGUGUAUAAAAAAAACUGCACUGUUGGUUAAGGGCUUGCAAGUAGGCAUUUCACGGUAAGGUCUACACUUGUAUUCGGCGCAUGUGACAAAUAAGGUUUGAUUAGAUUCGAAAUCCCUAAUCCUGGCUACUAAUGCUCUAGCAUUAAUUUACUGAGGCAAGAAGAUCAGAGAUGUCAAGGUGGUACUCAAGCAUAUGCCAUGUGUUUGUGACACACAUGUAUGGUGAUAUUUUUGAAGUUUAUUUGGUUUAUUUUGCCUCCCAAGUAUUUGAAUUUAAUGUAUGUAUAUAAUUACUGCUGCUAGGGGAGCUGUGACGCCAAUGAAGUGAGUUAGAGAGAUAUUUAACAUUUCUUCUUCAUUAUGGAAAAUGACUAGUUCUGAAAACUAAUGUUUCUCCAUCUUAUCAUUUUACCCUAUUAAUUCAGGUAUGUAAUGUGCGAAAAUGCAAUAUGACUCAAAAUAUUGAGGUAACAUGGUUAAUUACAUAGUCUGUGAGUUUGAUGUUUGAAGGCAGUUUUAACUGACUGAAAAACUGGUUGGUAUUUUCCUCCAUUGUAAGUAAGCUAAUGGAGUUAGGCUAGAUUGCUAAUGGUUUACAUGAACAAGAAAGGAUCAACAUGGCGUCCAGACUCAGUUUACUUGAGGUAAUAUGUAAAUAUGCGAUGUCACGAUAAAAUGUGUUAAUAUUUGUAUAAAAAAAAUUGUUUAACAGUUCGCUAGCUUGAUGCUAACCAAAUUUAGCUUGGCUAAGAGCUAUAGUAGUUACCUUUAGCCUAGUUGGUUUUAGUCCAUGUCAGCUUAAUGUAAUGGUUGUAGCAUUGUUUUGCAUAGGCGUUUUAUAGGAGUUUUUUCUCUCCGAAAUUGACACUGAUAGUACAGUCCCCGUUUGUUGUCUUUGCAGACAACACAGCAGUGUCCAGGCCUCCAGAGUAUUCACUCUAUUGCCUGCUAUAUGGAGAGGAGCCACAGCAGUUAACUGAUGUGAACAAUGCAAUUGUGUAUAUAACAUUAUUGUGUAUACAUUGUUGGGGAUUGACUUAGAGUUUUUCAUUUGCUGUUUUUGUAUAACAUACUUUGUGGUGGAAGUUGUGAAACCAGAUCAGAACGCCUUCGAAGACCACCUUCAGGCCCGGACUGAGAAGGAUGUGGAGGUUUUUGACCAGUCAAGGUGUGACUGAACAUGGACUGGCCACAUGAGAAAAAGGAGAGCCACCUGAGAAGAAUCAAGGGGACCAAGUGCUUCGACAUCUGGGCGAAUUACUUGGCUUGGAAGAAGGACGAAAGGAAGGCGAGACCCGGGAAAGCUUGGUGCUCUUUCGCUCCUAGCUGGGGUCAACAUCCAGUCAGGGACCAUCCCUUACGAACCCCACUGACAUCAACAAUUAUAGACAGGACCUAGGGAUUCUGCCUAACACCCAGACAUGGAUCCAUUACCAACCACCCUCCAACUUUUCAUUACAUCAGCUACUGUUAUUGUCAAGUUGUCAUUAUCCGCUAAGAAAGAGCAAGACAACUAUCAUACUGGGCACAUAAUGUGGGCUGCACAGAUUUGCUAAAAACACUAGCACUGCAAACACUCCGAACAAAGAGGUCAGCAGCGCCUGGACUUUGCAGUUUCCCUCUUGAGUCCACAACAUGUUGAAAAACAAGUGAGGACGCAGAUGCAGAACCUCCUAUCCACACAAGACCCACCUCCUCUCUAUUCCACACACCAUAAUUCUGUAUUUCAGUCUGAUUGCCAUGUGAGUGUACAAAAAAAAAAUCUGAAAGUAAAUUGACACACACGUACCCAAAAAAUAUCAAUGGUUGUGUAUUUAAAUCAAAUAUUUUGCUGUUUCACAAGGUGUUUAUUGUCAAUUGUAACAUAUCCCUUGAUGGUAUUUGUUAGUAAAACAUUAUUAAUUGUAUUAUAAGACUUACAAUAGAUAUAUUCAACCACAAGGGUGUACUAAUGUGCUAUGAUUUUUUUGAAAUCAUAAUUGACUACAAUUAUUUCAGUGUAGGUAAGGGAAUGCCUAUUUAAAAUGAAAACAUGCCAGCCAGACAAGAAAGUGUAUGAAUCAAAUGUAUUUGCAUAUGAAUGAGUGGAAAUCAGUUAACUUUGAUCUGUAAGGUAAAUAACUGUGUGUGCGUGGGGGGGGGGGGGGUAUUGAAAUUAUAUUAUGUUUACCCUGAUGCCUGUUUAUUCAUAAAAAGCAGCAGAUGGUAAAUAACAUUAAUCACAAUGGUUAGCCUAUACAAAUGAAUAGGAAUACAUUUAGCCUAAUUGGUAAAAUGAUGUGGGGGAAAGUCGGGACCCUAGUCAGGCUUUUGUUGGUCAACUCCAGAUUAAAUAUAGGUCUUCAUGUGUAGGAAACUGUGGGCUAAAUCAAUGAAAAACAGCUUAAAUGUUCAUGCUUCAUCAUGAUCUGUGAUCAAUACAGGCUGGGGUGUUUUUGGUUCCGUUUAGUCUAAAGAUAUGCGUAAGAAAGCAACUGCACUGAAAUGAAUAGCCUGAUUCAAUGGGAUUCUCCUGAAUAAUAAAUGUUUUUAUCUGUUAAACUGUUUGGUCUACGCAUAGAUCCAUACCAAUUCUAACUUUUUGGUAUUUUUUAUUAGGUAUAGCUCUACAUUGCAGAGCAUUUAAUAAACCAACCACAUUUUCCUGGGAUGUUAAGGCUGCGCAAGACCUUCGAUAGGCUAGUAGACUGUGGAAAUAAUCUGGAGUUUAUCAUUGUUGUAGCCUAGAUCGCUUUAUAAAAUCUGGACUGUUGCUAUGGCUAAGCAAACAAGUGGUAGCAUAUUCUUUUGCACGUCUCUUUAACAAGGCCUAUAUCCUCACAUACUCCCUCAAUUUGAACCCUGCUUUCCACAGAAAUGUAUAGACAAAGGAUUGCAUGGUGACAGUAAAUGUGUCUGUUAAUCCAGUAAAGUGUGGGGGGGGGGCAAGGUAAAAUCAUGACAUCAGUGAUUUUCAGGUCAGAGAAAGAUGCCAGAGAUUCCAAGUUGGAUGACUGUUCAAAGCAAAAAUCCCAGUCUGAGCUAAUUUUACCCAGAGUUCCCAGUUGUCUUGAACGCAUUGAAGUCGGAAGUCAGAGAUUGCCAACAUCCGAGUUGUUUUGAAUGCGCCACUAGAGACCUAGACUACACACAACAAAGAAAAGGAAAGUGGGAUAGCUAGUCAGUUGUACAACUGAAUGCAUUCAUCCCAACCCCUCUGAAUCAGAGCGGUGCGGGGGCCUCCUUAAUCGAAAUCCACAUAUUCGUCGCCCAGGGAACAAUGGGUUGACAGCCUUGCUCGGGCAAAACGACAAAAAAAGUUUGUCAGCUUUGGGAUUCAAUCUAGCAACCUUUUUGGUUACUGGCCCAACACUAACCACUAGGCUACCAAGAAUCCCUUGUGUUUGUAUUGAUGUGAGAAAUAGGCUUAUCUACACAACAAUGGUGGCUGCGAUAUCAACUAGCCUAAUAAUUUUUGAAUCGAGGUGAUAGGCCUAUUUUAGCUAAAUCAACAACUGAAAUUGAUGAACUAAGCACACUUAAACUAACACGUAACACAUGUAGAUGUUUUUAAGGCUUUCAUGGUAAGAUCAUUCAUAAUAACUUUACACGUGACGUGAACGCGUCGGCAGUUUGACUCCUUAGACACAAACUUGUCUCCACUGACAGUAAUUCAUGGCGUUAUUUUAUAGCGCUAGGAAGACGCUCGGUGACUUGGUGAGCGGUAUCAGGAGCUUCAUGAGGCUUAAUUCUGGCAUGAAUCACCCCCCAUAGCAGCGCGGAGUGAGAUUCCCAAAGUCUGGGGCGUCAGCCUUCUCGUCCUCUAAUAUCGCUCCAGUAGUUGUCACUUCACAAGCUCAGGGCAUGCCCUGGCUCAGCAUGCAUCUGUAGUCUACUUGUGUGCUGCUAUAGCAAGCAUGACGGUGUACUUACU